AAGAUAAAAUAAAAGAAAAAAAAAGGAAGUAAUCUACCACAGUGGUGCUGAAAAGAAGAGAAAGAAUGAGAGAAGUAGAAAGCUGCUCUCAAAGUUACCAAAAGUGACUGCCUUCGGCUUCUCAACUGCAGCAGCAGCAGCGAGCCGCAACUGGCAGCAAACUCAGCGUUAACGCUGGCUCCUGUUGGGGAGGGUCCGUGGUCAGGAGAGGAACUAAAUGAGACAGAGAUGGGCUGUGACAAAGACAGUUCCAAAAUGAUCCAGCCAGGCUUUGAUAAUGAUGAUGUUCCACCAGAUUGAGAAGCUACAGCAUCAUCCACUCUGCUGUAUGAAGAGGACCGCUCCAGGUGAAGGACAGGAUCAGACGGGCGCAGAUUUACUUCCAACUACUAUUUCAUUCAAAUGAAAAAUGGAGAACAGAUAAGCAGAUCAUGUGUUGUCUACUAGAAAAAGGGACAAACGAAAAUGAGUGGAAAACAACACAAAAAAGUAUAGGAGAGGGACAAAAGGUAGAACAAAUAAUGAAUGUCUAUUAUAUUAAAAUUCCUGUAUCUGUAUAAUGGGUCUGUUUUAUGUGUUGUCUUCACAAUUCAGAGGGCCCCAUGCCUUUCUUUGCCUAGGGCCCCAAAUUUCCU